GGACGGGUGAGUAACACGUAGGCAACCUGCCUGCAAGAUCGGCNUAACCCACGGAAACGUGAGCUAAUACCGGAUAUCUCAUUUCCUCUCCUGAGGGRAUGAUGAAAGACGGAGCAAUCUGUCACUUGCGGAUGGGCCUGCGGCGCAUUAGCUAGUUGGUGAGGUAACGGCUCACCAAGGCGACGAUGCGUAGCCGACCUGAGAGGGUGAACGGCCACACUGGGACUGAGACACGGCCCAUACUCCUACGGGAGGCAGCAGUAGGGAAUCUUCCGCAAUGGGCGAAAGCCUGACGGAGCAACGCCGCGUGAGUGAUGAAGGUUUUCGGAUCGUAAAGCUCUGUUGCCAGGGAAAGAACGUCCGGUAGAGUAACUGCUAUCGGAGUGACGGUACCUGAGAAGAAAGCCCCGGCUAACUACGUGCCAGCAGCCGCGGUAAUACGUAGGGGGCAAGCGUUGUCCGGAAUUAUUGGGCGUAAAGCGCGCGCAGGCGGUCAUUUAAGUCUGGUGUUUAAGGGCCAAGGCUCAACCUUGGUUCGCACUGGAAACUGGGUGACUUGAGUGC
rnacentral:rRNA from 1 species